rnacentral:sRNA from 1 species
AAACAAAGGAACACCUACAAGUCAUGC